UACGGGGGAUGCAAGCGUUAUCCGGAUUUAUUGGGUUUAAAGGGUGCGUGGGCUGUGAGGUAAGUCAGCGGUGAAAUGCCCCCGCUCAACGGGGUGAAGUGCCAUUGAUACUGCCUUGCUGGAAUGCGGAUGCCGUGGGAGGAAUGUGUGGUGUAGCGGUGAAAUGCAUAGAUAUCACACAGAACACCGAUUGCGAAGGCAUCUCACGAAUCCGCUAUUGACGCUGAUGCACGAAAGCGUGGGUAUCAAACAGG
rnacentral:rRNA from 1 species